rnacentral:rRNA from 1 species
GGGACACGUGGUAUCCUGUCUGAAUAUGGGGGGACCAUCCUCCAAGGCUAAAUACUCCUGACUGACCGAUAGUGAACCAGUACCGUGAGGGAAAGGCGAAAAGAACCCCGGCGAGGGGAGUGAAAAAGAACCUGAAACCGUGUACGUACAAGCAGUGGGAGCACGCUUAGGCGUGUGACUGCGUACCUUUUGUAUAAUGGGUCAGCGACUUAUAUUCUGUAGCAAGGUUAACCGAAUAGGGGAGCCGAAGGGAAACCGAGUCUUAACUGGGCGUUAAGUUGCAGGGUAUAGACCCGAAACCCGGUGAUCUAGCCAUGGGCAGGUUGAAGGUUGGGUAACACUAACUGGAGGACCGAACCGACUAAUGUUGAAAAAUUAGCGGAUGACUUGUGGCUGGGGGUGAAAGGCCAAUCAAACCGGGAGAUAGCUGGUUCUCCCCGAAAGCUAUUUAGGUAGCGCCUCGUGAAUUCAUCUCCGGGGGUAGAGCACUGUUUCGGCAAGGGGGUCAUCCCGACUUACCAACCCGAUGCAAACUGCGAAUACCGGAGAAUGUUAUCACGGGAGACACACGGCGGGUGCUAACGUCCGUCGUGAAGAGGGAAACAACCCAGACCGCCAGCUAAGGUCCCAAAGUCAUGGUUAAGUGGGAAACGAUGUGGGAAGGCCCAGACAGCCAGGAUGUUGGCUUAGAAGCAGCCAUCAUUUAAAGAAAGCGUAAUAGCUCACUGGUCGAGUCGGCCUGCGCGGAAGAUGUAACGGGGCUAAACCAUGCACCGAAGCUGCGGCAGCGACGCUUAUGCGUUGUUGGGUAGGGGAGCGUUCUGUAAGCCUGUGAAGGUGUGCUGUGAGGCAUGCUGGAGGUAUCAGAAGUGCGAAUGCUGACAUAAGUAACGAUAAAGCGGGUGAAAAGCCCGCUCGCCGGAAGACCAAGGGUUCCUGUCCAACGUUAAUCGGGGCAGGGUGAGUCGACCCCUAAGGCGAGGCCGAAAGGCGUAGUCGAUGGGAAACAGGUUAAUAUUCCUGUACUUGGUGU